GAAUUGACGGGGCCCGCACAAGCGGUGGAGCAUGUGGUUCAAUUCGAUGCUACGCGAAGAACCUUACCUGGGUUUGACAUCUGGCGAAUGGUCUGGAAACAGGCCAGUGCCCGCAAGGGAGCGCCAAGACAGGUGCUGCAUGGCUGUCGUCAGCUCGUGCCGUGAGGUGUUGGGUUAAGUCCCACAACGAGCGCAACCCCUAUCCGUAGUUGCCCCCGGGUUAUGCUGUGGCACUCUACGGAGACCGCCCGUGUUAAACGGGAGGAAGGUGGGGACGACGUCAAGUCAUCAUGGCCUUUAUAUCCAGGGCUACACACGUGCUACAAUGGUCGGUACAAAGGGAGGCAAUCUCGCGAGAAGGAGCUAAUCCCAAAAAACCGACCUCAGUUCGGAUCGCAGUCUGCAACUCGACUGCGUGAAGCUGGAAUCGCUAGUAAUCGCAAAUCAGAAUGUUGCGGUGAAUACGUUCCCGGGCCUUGUACACACCGCCCGUCACACCAUGGGAGUGGGUUGCAAAAGAAGUAGGUAGCUUAACCUUCGGGAGGGCGCUUACCACUUUGUGAUUCAUGACUGGGGUGAAGUCGUAACAAGGUAACCGUA
rnacentral:rRNA from 1 species